CUUGACUACAGUAAGAUUUUUCUAUAUUUAUGGAGGCAUGAGGGGCCCAGGGGGGCUAGAUGGUGGUGUUAACACUAUAUGGUCAUGAAUUCAUGUUUGUGUUCCUGACUCUAUAGUGAUCCUUUAAGGUAAUGCUGACUUUGGUCUCUCUAACACUGUGGCAUGUUCCCUUUCUUCGACACUCACUACAUACAGCUUUUCUCUGUCCCAGACCAUAUACCAGGAGCUUCUGCCUGCUAGUAAGAAGGUUAGGAGACAAGUGGACCAGCGAGUGCUAGGGGACAGUCCUUAGAAAGCGUUGAGUGAGCACAUUAUUUGAUGCAUUUAUGUCAAGCUCAGGGUGCUGUCUGCAUAGUAUGCCCUUAGUUGGCCAACUGCAUGAUUGGCAGGCAGCCUGACAUGCAUUCAUGCCAGGCUGGCC